AGGACGAACGCUGGCGGCGUGCUUAACACAUGCAAGUCGAACGGAAAGGCCCUUCGGGGUACUCGAGUGGCGAACGGGUGAGUAACACGUGGGUGAUCUGCCCUGCACUUCGGGAUAAGCCUGGGAAACUGGGUCUAAUACCGGAUAUGACCAUGGGAUGCAUGUCUUGUGGUGGAAAGCUUUUGCGGUGUGGGAUGGGCCCGCGGCCUAUCAGCUUGUUGGUGGGGUGAUGGCCUACCAAGGCGACGACGGGUAGCCGGCCUGAGAGGGUGUCCGGCCACACUGGGACUGAGAUACGGCCCAGACUCCUACGGGAGGCAGCAGUGGGGAAUAUUGCACAAUGGGCGCAAGCCUGAUGCAGCGACGCCGCGUGGGGGAUGACGGCCUUCGGGUGUAACCCUUCAGUAGGGACGAAGCGCAAGUGACGGUACCUACAGAAGAAGGACCGGCCAACUACGCGCCAGCACGCCGC
rnacentral:rRNA from 1 species